rnacentral:lncRNA from 8 species
CCCUAGCCCCCCCGACACAUAAACUACUGCAGCAUAAAUACUGGAGGCUGAGACAAGAGAGGUCGGGAGACACUGUGGCCCCAUCCGAUGAUAACACCGGACAGGGCCAAACAGGCAGGAUAUAACCCUACCCACUUUGCCAAAGCACAGCCCCCACACCACUAGAGGGAUAUCUUCAACCACCAACUUACCAUCAUAAGACAGGGCUGAGUAUAGCCCACAAACAUCUCCGCCACGGCACAACCCAAGGGGGGGGCGCCAACCCAGACAGGAAGAUCACGUCAGUGACUUAACCCACUCAAGUGACGCACCCCUCCUAGGGACGGCAUGGAAGAGCACCAGUAAGCAAAUUGAUAUAAAACAUCCCCACAAUUAUUUUUUAAAUGCUAACGACUUUCUACCAAAUGAGCACAAAUUUAUAUAAAACAUGGCUACAAAUUAUGAAACGAGCUCACAAAUUGUAAAAUAUCCACGUACUGUAAUAUACAUCCACUAUACUUUUAGUUUUGGAUGUUAUGAUGAUAUUCCCUGGUGCCCUGCGUGCCCAUUCGGUAAUCUGGCCCUGAUCAUGAAAUUAAACUACAGGUAUUGUUGUUACACAUCCUCACACUGUCUUGGAGGAUAAAACUGAGACUGUAGCCAGCUUACCUAAUUUUAUUGUCCAAAGAAUGUUCUCAUAGUCCAGAAGCAUUGGAUGAAAAUCCACAAUGUUGGUGCCAUACAGGAGCACUGACCAAUCUGCCUCCAAAAGAGGACUGCUGGUUUUGAGGAUGGUGUGGAGGUCAGUGGUUGAUGAUCUGAGCACCCCCUGAGAUGGUGAGUAUGGUUUCAGUAGACCACUAUUGAGCUGGUAGAUCAGAUAGGAGCUUUGAGGAAAGGUCAUUUAGUGCUUUGAAUAUGGUUCAUAUUGCCUUAUAGUGAAUUCAGGACUUGGACAGGGAGUCGAUGCAGCUUAAAGAUGCAUUUACAUGGGGGUUUGGAUGAUAGUGUCAAAUUUCUUAGAAUGAGCGAAAAUAUUGGAGUUUGGGGACUGGAGGGGAUAAUAGUCAAGUUGGGAAAUGUGCAAAUAUUUAGAUACAAACAUAUAGUCAAGUUGGGGAUUAUUCAGAUAUUCCUGUUGAAAAAGAGAAAAGACAGAAAGAUAUAAUAUUACAGUAUAUUAAAUUCAUCCCAUUGGGCCAAAACUGGUUGAAUAAACGUUGUUUCCACCUCAUUUCAACAAUCCAAAAAAUCUGUGAUGACGGUGAAUCAAUGUGGAAAACAGAAUUGGAUUUUUUUCACUCAACUUUUAACCAACAUUUUUGGUUAAUUUCACAUUGGUUGAUUUCCCAAAUUUAAAUCAAAACUAGACAUUGAACUGAUGUCUGUGCCCAGUGGGAUUGGAGUUCUGUAAUCAUAUCAGCUCAUUUGUCAUACUUCUUCUAAUCAUCCAGAGAGAAUGUACCUUUCUUUGAGGUUAACCUUUGAGAUGACCUCCCUCAAGGAUUCUCGCUCUUUCCUCGGAGUGAAUUUGUCCCACAUUUUAGCAAAGUCGCCAUUGGUGGCCACGUUUCUCAAGAUAUUGCGACUAUGAUGCCUGUGGACAAAGAUUUUAAUAUCAUCUUAAACGUGCAACAUAUCAAAUCAUUUCUGCUGUCUGUGAUUAAAAACAGUAAUCAAUUGAUGGCAACCAGAGAAAAAAUAUCCCAUCACAAUAAGACAUAUAUUAGGUAGAAUUUGCAAGAGGGUCGGUUUGAGUAAUGCACCGCAUUACCUGAUCUACAAAUCAUCUCAACUAUCUAACAACUGGGUAUUAACCGUUCGUUAUUAUGAAAAUCUUAGCGAAUCUGCACAGCGCUUGGCUCAGGCCGACCAUUGUGAUCAAGUAGGGUUGUCUUCAUUAGGCACCAAACAGAAGGAAGGAAACUGAAUCAUGUACUGACUAUUUGGACUCAUUUACAUCUUGAAUUGUUACCCCAAUUUCGUGGUAUCCAAUUGGUAGUUACAAUCUCUGUCCAAUCACUGCAACUCCUGUAAGGACUCUGGAGAGGCGAAGGUCGAGAGCCGUGCGUCCUCCGAAACACAACCCAGCCAAGCCGCACUGCAUCUUGACACAAUGCCCGAUUAACCUGGAAGCCAGCUGCGCCAAUGUGUCAGAGGGAACACCAUACACCUGGCGAUCGUGUCAGCGUGCAUUGCACCCCGCCCACCACAGGAGGUCGCUAGUUGGCGAUGGGAGAAGAACAUCCCUGCCGGCCUUUGGCUUCAGCUAAGCUUUUGGCUUUUUAACUUUCAAACCCACAUGAGUGCCUGGACUUGGAUUUUCCUAUGCCACGUUGCUCUUAUUUGUGUUUAUAAUUUUUCCUAUUUGUUUUCAAUUACUAUUCCUCUCCAAGAGAACCUGUGGUUGUUUUGGAAUACCUAAAAUCCGCAAUUCAAUCCAUGACACCCUUUAGCAUAGAUGCUGUAGACAGCAUCUACGCUGUAGACAGCAUCUAUGCAGUUUUUAAAUUACCUUUAAAAACUGCAUUGUCGGCGAUCUAGUGCUAUAGCGAGCCAUGGAUUGAAUCACGGCCUAAGUUAAGGCCGGCCAUUAUGUUUAAGCAAGCUACUUUACAGGAGGAACAUCCCACCUGACUUCCUGUGCAGGGUCCACAGCCAGUUUACUGACAGCAAUCAAGAAACGGUCAGUGAGGUCUUUCUUCCCCGACAGGAGACGAGCCAUCCCCAUGACCUCAGCCAGUCUCUCCAGGUGCUGAGCAGUGCAGCUCCUCACCGCUGCGUUACGGUGGCUGAGGAAGGAAAAACAGAGCACAUCAGUUACAUGUCAUAGAGAUACAUGAGUUAGGAGACGAAUGAUAAUGGAUUGUAUUGAUGAAGUCUCAUCGAUG